rnacentral:rRNA from 1 species
AUCGAACGCUGGCGGCAGGCCUAACACAUGCAAGUCGGGCGAGCGGCGGACGGGUGAGUAAUGUAUGGGGAUCUGCCUGAAGGAGGGGGAUAACUACUGGAAACGGUAGCGAAUACCGCAUACCAUCAGACGCACCCAUAUGGGAUUAGCUUGUAGGUGAGGUAACGCGUCACCUGGGCGCCGAUCCCUAGCUGGUCUGAGAGGAUGAUCACCCCCACUGGGACUGGGACGCGGCCCGGUCUCCUACGGAAUGCAGCAGUGGGAAAUAUUGCACAGUGGGCGCAAGCCGUCAGCAGCCAUGCCGAUUCUAUGAAAAAGACCUUCGGGUUGUAAAGUACUUACAAUCGGGAGACGUUACCGACAUAAGAAGCACCGGCUAGCUCCGUGCCAGCAGCCGCGGUAAUAC